GCUCCGAAAUAUUUUCACAGUACCCAUUUCAACUUAAAAUAGACUCUGGCUGCCAUUAAAUUUGACUUGCGAGACGACCAACCGCAGGACUCGCGGCUAAUGAAGUCAAAACGAGGUUCAAUGCCUGUUUGAUGGGCUUUGGAUGCCUUUUGUAAAUAUUUAAUUAGUUUGAUUCACAUGCCGGCCGCAAAAUUGAUUGACUCCGCCGGCUCACCGCAAAGGGGUUUCGGGUGAUCCUUGGUUACGGCAGCUCCUCCGGUUUCCAUUGCUCUGGGCUGCGCAGGCUUAGAGCUUCGCUUGAUUAACAAAGAGCUCUGCCGGGGGAGGAUUCUAUCGGGGCCAGCUAAUUAGCAUUGCAUGGACAUGGUGCCGGAGACUGGCACCUGCAGGAGCAGCUGAGUCCGUGUCGGCAUAAGUUGCCGGAGAGCUCAAGUUAAGCUACAAUGCACACGCAUCGGAUCAAAAGGCAGGCGUCUAAUUGGCAACAUUUGGGCAAAAUUAAAUUUGAGAAGGAGUGGGAGACUUAAAUUUUAUGAAGCUAAUUAGUGUUUCAAAUUUAUGCGGAGUAUUU
ensembl:ncRNA lncRNA:CR44112 long non-coding RNA:CR44112